rnacentral:rRNA from 1 species
AUUGAACGCUGGCGGCAUGCCUUACACAUGCAAGUCGAACGGCAGCACGGGAGCAAUCCUGGUGGCGAGUGGCGAACGGGUGAGUAAAGUAUCGGAACGUGCCCAGUCGUGGGGGAUAACGUAGCGAAAGUUACGCUAAUACCGCAUACGAUCUAUGGAUGAACGCGGGGGAUCGCAAGACCUCGCGCGCUUGGAGCGGCCGAUACCAGAUUAGGUAGUUGGUGGGGUAAAGGCUCACCAAGCCGCCGAUCUGUAGCUGGUCUGAGAGGACGAACAGCCACACUGGGACUGAGACACGGCCCAGACUCCUACGGGAGGCAGCAGUGGGGAAUUUUGGACAAUGGGCGAAAGCCUGAUCCAGCCAUGCCGCGUGCAGGAUGAAGGCCUUCGGGUUGUAAACUGCUUUUGUACGGAACGAAAAGGUUUGGCCUAAUAAGCUGAGCUCAUGACGGUACCGUAAGAAUAAGCACCGGCUAACUACGUGCCAGCAGCCGCCGUAA